rnacentral:rRNA from 1 species
AUCGAACGCUGGCGGCAGGCCUAAUACAUGCAAGUCGAGCGCAGCGGCGGACGGGUGAGUACUGCCUAGGAAUCAGCCCGGUAGUGGGCGACCACGCCCGGAAACGGGAGCUAUUACAGCAUACUAUCAGAUCAGCUUAGGGUGGCUUAGCUAGUUGGUGCGGUAAAGGCUUACCAAGGCGACGAUCCGUAGCUGGUCUGAGAGGGUGAUCAGUCAAACUGGGACUGAGACACGGUCCAGACUCCUACGGGAGGCAGCAGUGGGGAAUAUUGGGCAAUGGACGAAAGCCUGAUCGAGCCAUGCCGCGUGAGUGAAGAAGGUCUUCGGAUUGUAAAGCUCUUUAGGUUGAGAGGCGGUACCUACCCAGUAAGCAACGGCUAACUACGUGCCAGCAGCCGCGGUAAUAC